UGAAGGACAGAAAAGCCAACCUCAGCUGGGUUCAUGAUUCCUUAUUCUUUUUAUCCUUUCCCCCAAAUGUAAGGGCAUUUGAGUUCAAAAAGGAAUCGAACUCAGAUCUUAUUCGACUUACUACUUUCCAUAUGUUUAAGAGAGACCACACUCUAUUUCUGUUGGUGGGUAUUACAAAUAACUGUUUUUUUGGAUGUAAUAUUUCUAAACCUUACCAAAGUACAAGUUUUACUUUCCCGUUUUUUCUUUAUAAAAAUGAAAUUCAAAAAUUGUGUGUCUGGGCCACACAACCAAGUACAUGUAAACCAACUAAGGUGGGUCUGAGUCCAAAACCAGGGAUCUUCCCAUGAUCUACCUGCCAGUCAUCAGGUUUGAAAACUAGGAAAUGUACAGGGAGGCCAUGAUAAAUGUAGGUACAAACAUAAGGUAAAAUGGAGUAUGCUUACCAUGAAAAUGAGAUGGCCCCAAAGGGUCAUGGAGGAUAACAGUCAACAAAAGUUGUUUGAUUAUGAAGUAGAAAUCUUCAGUCUUACCUUCAGAUUUAGUAUCUCUCUUGAUUUGGUGAGAUUGUCUCCUCUGCUUGAGAAGUGUGCCAUUUUGGUGCAGUGGGGGAAAAAAAAAAAAACUUAGCUUUACAAGAUGUGUAACCUUGGGGAAGUUAACUUCUGUGGGCAUCCAUUUCUUUACUAUGAUUUUUGCAAGAAUUAAUGGGGUUUUCUGUGUCAGUAAUUCUCAACCAUGGAUACAUAGAAUUACAUGAGAUAAUUCUGAAAUGACCCAUGCUCCAGCCCCAGUUGAAAUAAAUUCCUCAUAAUCAACUGAUAUAAGUCCUCUAAUAUGGUGCCCCAAAUAGAAGCUCUGGAAAUAUUAGCUCUAUUUCCCCAAUUCCAAAAGCAGAGUUUAUCAUUAACCUGUGAAUUAGAGUCUAUUCAUGCUUCUUGUAAUGGUUAAUUGGUACAUUUGUAAUCAAGCAGGGAGGCUGGCAGACCCAUGUGAGUGCUGCCUGUCAGAGAACAAUCAUUGAUGUACAUGUUGAUAGAGCAUGUGUGAUAUAGAAAUGCUGUGUGUUGAUAUAUCACUGUAAAUGCAUUUCAGUGACAAACAGUAUGUGAAAACUGAAGCCUGGACUGCUGGUAAUGAUUCCUAAUAUUUACAUAAGAGUCAGUUUAUAGAGUUAUAUAUAUAAUCUUGUGAAUUAAAUAUUGUCAUCAAGCCCAUGUUAUAAAUGAAUUGAGAAUGGAGUGGUUAAUAUAAUCAAUAUAUUUACCUAACUGUACAAACUGAAAAUAUAGCUAGGCACUGUGGAACACACCUGUAAUCCCAGUUACGCAGAAGACUGAGGCAGGAUUACAUGUUUCAGGACAGCCUGGCAACCUAGCCUCAAAAAAAAAAUUAAAAAUAAAAAGGGCUGAGAGUGUAGCUCAGUGGCCAAGCACUUGCCUAACAUGUAGAGACCCUGGAUUCAAUCUCCAGUGCUGAAAGAAAAAAAAAAAAGAGAGAGAGGGAGACAAGAUAGCAUAGAAUCAUUGAAUCUUAGAAAUGCCUAUUUUAGAGUUGUGUGGUUUAAAUUAGAUGCUGAAUGUAGAACUCCUACCAGUGUUAAUAAAUGAUUACUUCAUAAAUGGCAAUUCAGAGUAUUGAGUUGAAAUUUGGAUCCCAUGGUCUAUUCUUCACUAUCUUUGUAAAUAGAAUAGGGCUUUUCACUUAAGAGGAAUGGCUCUAUACUUCUCUCAUUUCAAAAGAUGUAACCAUUAGUUUCCACUGCAUAGCAAACAGUCUCAAUCUUGGUGGCAUUAGACAACCAUCAUUUAUUAUUGCUCAUUAUGCCAGUCAACUGAGCCAUUCUGCUGGUCUGAGUAAGACUCUGCCAAUAUUGGCUGGGCUCCCUGAUGCUAAUCUGGUAAUCAUGUCUUUAUGCAAUC
rnacentral:lncRNA from 1 species